CUCAGCGUGGGAAGGAGGGAAAGAAAGACUCAGCCAAGUGUCCCGAGGAGGAGCCGGCAGGGGAGGGGAGGAAAGGACGAUCCUUUUCCAGGCAACUUGGCUUUUAAGAAUGGGAAUGCAAAAUAUAAGAAGAUUCCUGACUUCCAAGAAUUUAUCAUUCACUCAACAAUUGUACUGAACACCUUUUAUAUGCCAGGUACUGUUUUAGAUGCUGGAAAUAAUCAGUGAACCAAAGAGUCCCUCCCUUCGUGGAGCAUAUGAUAUAGUGGGUAGAAUAUAGUUAGUGAUUUGAUUUAUAUAAACACUUAAAUGGUUUAACUUCUGUAUUUUUUUUGUUUUAAGUCCAAAGGAAGUUCAUGAGUAAUUGCCACAUUAAUAAAUAGCACAGACAUUUUAAAAUCUGUACGUCUAGAGGAAGCAAAACUCACUUUAGAAUGGGAGCUCCAGGAGAAUACUAUUAAAAGUAUUUUGCUCUUGAAAUUCUGGCUUCUUUGUGCUCUCAAAAUGGAAGCGCUGCUUAAGGUGGUCAGAACUGGAGUGGCUUAGGUUUAAUGUGGCAAAUACUAAAAAACUGGUAGAAAUAGUAACCAUACACUAACUAGAUGAGAAUUAGCAGGUAUUGCCUCUUGCAGCCAAUAACACAGGUGGUUGUCCCUACAGCUCCAGCAUGUUCUGUUCACUCCAGCAGAAGAAAAUUGCGUAGAUUAGUCUUAUUUUAUUUAUCUUACUAAAUCCUACUCAAAACUCUAAAAAGAUACCUGAAGCUAAUGUCAUCUAAAAAAAAAAUCCAAAAGCUCACUCCCCAAAAAUGGCAAAUGUUUUUGAUAUGUUUUAGAACCGUGGUAGCACUGACAAACUGAGGUCAAAUGCAAGCCCGUGACAGCAAACUGUCAUCUCAAUGACUUCUGAAUAAGGAAUUUAAGAAAACUAGACUUGGUGGCCGUUGUCUAAGAGACUUUGCAACAAAUUGUGCCAAUGCCAUUUCAAGCCACAGACCAAUUUUAAAGAUUUAAAAUAAAUUGAAACCAUCCAGGUGGGCUCCAUGAAGUGCUGGUUGCACACCUCCUCUGGGUCCAUGCCAGCAAAGCAAAGACGGAGCACCUACCUCAGGCAUCUCCCGAGAGACAGACACGAACUGCAGGCAGCGGGGUUGCAUGGCGGAAACCGGGCCAUCUGGUGAGAGCGUCGGAUGGCAUCCGGAGUAGGUCAGGGAGGACUUCAUGAGGACUAGAUGUGAGCUGAGACCAAGACAAGAGCUGGAGACAGUCCUGUGAGCCAAGGAUGAGUGAACACAGUACUUGUCCCUGGGUCGAGUGGUAAGCGAUACGCUAUUACAGGAUGUAAAGUUGGGUGUCAGGACCACUGAGGAGCAGGCCAAGGAGCAGAUCAGGAAGUGCCUGGUAAAUCAAGAAUUAAGACUGAUUCAGCCAGUCAGUGGUUUUCAAAUUACCCUUUGGUUUUACAAAUUAAUGGACUUCUGAGGUUCCACAAACAUUUUAUUCAAAUCUCCUCUUUAGGAAUAUUUUCCACUAAUUUAAAAUAAUACGAAGGAAAUAUCUACACCCUCAAAUGUUUCAUAUAUCAAGUUUUAAUGCCUUAACUUGUGCUUCCAAAAUCUAGAUGAACAUAUUUUGAUGAGGACCACAAAGGAAAGCAUCUGUCAUCGCUGUGAAUACAGUAGAAUUUCUGACAAAGGUGUCAUUGUUUGGGAAGGCUGAGCUGUGACCAACCCUCUUUGGUUUCGUGCCUGUACAAGACAGGUACAAUCAGAGAAAUAAAGCCUGAGAAUAGGAGAAGCUCAGAUGUACCAGCUCAGCACAGAAUCUUGGAACACUGACAGUUCAUGAAAACACACUGACCAACUUGUGAUUUUUACAUCAAGCUACAGAGUUAACACAUAGUAAUUUUCGAUCUGAAUUUGGUACUUGUGAUAAGGACACAAAAAUUUGGUAGAUAUUGUUAAUGAUUCAACUCAAAAGUCUCAACAUUCUUGGAUCUCUAGGAUCCUCUGAAUUGAAGAGUAUCCUAAAAUCAGCAAUUAAAACAACAUGAUUUUAACUCAUUCGUUCAACAAAUGUUUGUGUGCCUUCCGUGUACUGGGUGCUGCUGGGUGCUAUGCCAAACACUAAGGAAACAAUAUAGAGCAAAAGCACAGGUUCUCUGCCCUCGUGGAGCUAGAUGCUGAGCAAAGAAGCACAUAAGCCGAACUAAGAUGUAGACCAAACAGGAUGUCAACCAAUGUAAGUGCUGUCAAGGAGAGACACCCAAGUGAUUGAGGGUGUGGCCCGGUCAUGGAGGUCAGGGAGGGCUCUUCAGAGGAAGUGAAGCUUGAUCUGCGACCUGGAAGAUUAGGCAACAGAAAAGAAGGCCAGAGCAGCGGGAGUGCAGAGAUCACAGCGGUGAGGCCACACAGGCCACUUAGAACAUAAUGGGGAGCUUUGUCCUGAUGCUGAGAGACCCAGAGGCAUUGAUUUUUAAGAGAACGAAGUGGCUGGAAGUAAGGUACACUUCUUUUACAUUUUAAUAUCUUCAAAAUCAAAAUUUAAUUAGCUCUUUUUUCUUUCUGGGCUAUACACAAAAUGAUAUAACUUACAGUUGAUGGUAUUUUAGAGUUGAUGAAAUAUGGUAAUCAGGUGUGCAUUUUUAAAAGAUCAUAUAAUGUGGAGAACAGAUUUAUGAUUAUCUGCGUGGAUCAGGGUUUUAUUAUAAAAUGCAGAAAUUAAUUGACUAUGGGUGCUGAGUAACACUAAUAUUUUCAUAUGUGUUUCACUGCAUGAUUUAAAAGUCGAUCAAAACAGUUCCUUUGUUCUGGUUAAUUUGAUUAUAAGUAAAUAUAAUUAAUCUGAACUAAUAAAAUCUAUCUUUCAAAAAUACCACUUUUAUCCAAUAAAUUAAAAUAUAUAAAUUGAUAUAAAUAUACAUAAAUAGGAACAGAUAAAAUCUGUGCAGAAUUUUCCUGAAUAAAAGUGUUCUGCUAUGAAAAACUAAAGGUUUGAAAAGUACUGUUCUGGGUAAUAGAGAUUCACUAAGGAUUUUUGCAGAGGAAAAUGACAAUUAAAGCUGCAGAACAGAGCUAUGAUGAUGGCCACAGCCACGUGGAAGACAUGAAGGAGAGGGAGGAAGUUUCUGUGAGAAUGGAAGAGGAGCCUUUGAACUCUUGACAUGGUCUUGUUUCUUAUCCAAAAAAAAUGUAUAAUACUCUCUACCUCCUAAAAACCUUUCAUGCAUUCUACUUAAUAAGAUAUACAAAUGAUUGACAAUUUCCCUCCCUACCUUACAUUUUUUUCUCUGGUAAGUUUAUUUAGUACCAAGAUAAGUCUUUCUCUUCUCUAAAACUAUUGAAGUGUCUCUUUGGCAUAUUUUUUUUAAGGGACAGAUUGGCAUGCAACAGGAAAAAAUCGUGUAUGCAUUCAUACGCUGUUAUGCCAGACUGUCUCAGCGACUGCCCCCAGCUCCUCCAUUAUUCUGUCAUUGGGUCAUUCUCACCUUUGCCCAUGGUCUCGCUCCCCCAAGGGCAGGGCCAUCUUGGCCUCCACAGAAGCUCUGCAGAAGGGCCGAGGCAGUCGGAUGCAUCAAUAGUGCUUUUGCAUUUUGCUUACUGUAUCAAAUUAAUUUUCCCCAAGUCAUAGACCUUAUUUAAGCAGUGAUUAAA